rnacentral:lncRNA from 1 species
UGUUUGGUUGCUCGUAUGUAGUAGGAGUGUGCGAAUGACAUGGGGCCCCUAUUUGCGAGCGAUCAAGAUGCGGGAGACAAAGGGCGGUUAUGGUGCUGGCCGCAGGCCGUCAACUCUGCAGAAAUGUAGUAAAGGCUAGCUCGCGGGCCACCAUGUGAAAUCGAUACGAUGUGAGGCCGCGCCACGCCUUGGCCACCGCAGGGUCAGAUGGUGAGUGACGCCCCUGGGAUUUAACUUGGAUUUUGGGUUGUGAAACUAUCCAUGUAUCUUUGGGACCUGCCUCCUGUGGCAGUCUCCCUUCCUAGCCAUGGAAGAGCAUGUUCUUGUUAUUGGCAAAGCUGUCACCAUUUCAUUGGUACCAGAUUCUGACUUGAGCAAGUAACAUUCAAAGACUGUUAAAAAGUCUGCACGACGCUAGGAAACUGAACUUUAUUUUCUAAAGUAGUGUUGAAAUAUUCCUAGGGAACGGCUGAACUCGUGACUGUUGAAGAGUAGAAGACGUAUUAAGGUAAGGUUAAUUUUUUUUAACGUUUCCGCGGUUCUGGGUAGUGAGUAGGCCUUUACUGUUGGGUCCAAUUUGCCCUUGAACUAUUAUGUAACAUAAGUAAACAGCCCGUUUUCCAGUCAUGGACAUUCUAUAAUGGGUUUUUUUUUCUCUCCUACAGGUACGAUAGUAAUGGCUGAGAACUUCCAGUCACCUUAGAUCUUCAUAUCUAAAUUUUGAAAAUGAACUUUAUGUCAAAUAAAAGGUUGCUUGGUGUGUAAU